AAUAUUGGUCAAUGGAGGCAACUCUGAACCAGCCAUGCCGCGUGCAGGAUGACGGUCCUAUGGAUUGUAAACUGCUUUUGUACAGGAAGAAAAAGAGCUACGAGUAGCUUAUUGACGGUACUGUAAGAAUAAGGAUCGGCUAACUCCGUGCCAGCAGCCGCGGUAAUACGGAGGAUCCAAGCGUUAUCCGGAAUCAUUGGGUUUAAAGGGUCCGUAGGCGGCCUUAUAAGUCAGCGGUGAAAGUUUUUGGCUUAACCAAAAAAUUGCCGUUGAUACUGUAGGGCUUGAAUGUGAUCGAAGGAGGCGGAACGGGACAAGUAGCGGUGAAAUGCAUAGAUAUGUCCCAGAACCCCGAUUGCGAAGGCAGCUUCCUAGAACAUAAUUGACGCUGAUGCACGAAAGCGUGGGGAUCGAACA
rnacentral:rRNA from 1 species